CUUGAGACAGCCGGUAGAGGAGUCACAAGAGUAGGUACCUUUCCAUGAGCUCACCUCUGUUCCACUCCCAUCUCAUAAAGGGUGUGACAGAUACUUCACAGAAGGCAAGGAGAAAACAGGUCAGAAGUAUGUUAUUGGGGGCUUAGCACUGAUUUUGGUUCUGACAAGCUGGCCACUCAGAGACAGCAGUAGCUAUGUCUGUCUCAGUAUGUGGUAGACCAUGCUGUUGGGCCCAUAUAUAUAUAGCCUCCAUGCCUGCCACUGGGGCUACUUCAUUCACGUACCCACUGUGUCAGUUCUGGGAUGACUAAAAUCAACUGGGUCAUCAUGAGUGAAGUCUUGAGCCACUGAGCCACUACCACCUUGUGCCAAAUACUAUCUGUGCCCUGCCUGCCAACCAGGAUGACAACCCUUCACCUGCCAGGUGGAGAGAGACAGCAGCAGGCUAACUAGUUGUCUGUUAAGAACAUCCAGAGCAGGACCAGAAUCUGGGCCAGGAACUGAGAGACAGAUUGGGACAACGGAACAAAUCUACCAGGGUAUGCUGGCCAACUUAGUCUUCUAUUAUGAUCAAGGAAGGAUGGCGCCUGAGAGGUCAUUACUAUGUGACUGGUCUUCAUAUAUUGCUUCUAUGUUUGAUUCUUCCUCCAGAAAUGUUUCAAUAGCAAACUCAAUGAGUUUACGUAGCCAGAAUCUUAGUCAAUAACCUACUCUGCAGUAUCUUAGGGCUGACUUUGUACAUAUGGAAGUCAGCCAGAUCUCAUGAGUGGAUCAUUAAGCUAGAAUUAUUUUCUUGGCACACGUUACAGUAAGGUAAUAUAUGACCUAGGCCUAAGGCAGGCCAUCAACCUGUCAAGAGUAAUGACCCCCAGGGGUAAGGCCUUGCUGUCUCCACCUCAAGGAUGGGUCUUCAAAGUGGAGACAAUAUAGUCCCUAUGGUUUCUACAUGCUUAAUGAGUCUGUUAUGUGAAUUAUAAAGAUAAUAUCUAUGGGGACUUUGAGCUCCUACAAUAAAAAUGUAUAAAUAUAAUCCAAGAAAUUCUGGUAGACAAACAUUGUAAUAAUGCAUAUCAGUCUUUGUAUCUCCAUUUAGUUUUUUUAAAACUUGGCUUGUGUCCAGAAGUAUGCACAGAUAUACAUAGCAAAUGCUCAGUGCUGAAUGUUUAGCUAAAUCCUGUGCUUCAAAGCAAGGAUGAAUAGAUUUUCAUCAGAGCUCAGGACCUGAACUGUAGGCUUCCCUCACAAUGAGAAGUAAAGCUAAGUAUAGGUGAAUCCUGAGUGGCACAUAUUCUAUGAGAGUUUUAUACAUAAUUUGAAUGAUUGAUAUGCUGCAUCUUUCAUUGAAAUGAUUGUCAACCAAUAUUAUUUCAAGUGUUAUUUCCAUGCUAUUUCUAGUUCUGUAUGUUUUACGUAAUUAUAAAUGGCUUCAUAUUUUCAUGUAACAUUGUAUGAUAUGAUUUGGGUUCUAACAGGUUAUCCUUGACACCAGUAUAGAAUACCCAGAAUUAAUUUAAGGUAUAUUAUCAAACCACUAAAAUUAGGAUGUCCAUGAAUUCUGAAGGAGAAAAUAUCAUUUAGAUUGUGUGUGUGUGUGUGUGUGUGUGCGCGUGUGUGUGUGUCCUCUAAGUUUUAAACAUGAGGUGGUUAUAUAAAGGGGACUUCUAAAUUGGGAGAGGAUGAAAAUGGGCUAAAUAUUUCAAACAAACUUCAGUGUGAAAUCAGUAGUAUAUUCAGUAGAGGUGACAGGGAAAAAAGCUGUGGAGGAGAAAAGAGAACAAGAAAAUCAGGAAGCAGUAAAAAUGAUGACUGAGGUCAGGUGGUAAUGGUAACAUCAAGAAACUUGAAUCUGAUGGAAAAAAACCACGGGUAGCUAUAAAAGGGGCAUUCGAAAUAGGAAAUGAUGUGAGAGGAGAAGAUAAUUUUAGUAUAGUUAAAGGAGGUAGCAGCUAUAGGUGUGAAGAGAACGGAUUAAUUUUAAAUGUGUCCCAGAAGUAAGAGAAAUAUUUUUUUGAGGAGUGGGGGAGGAACAAUGAGAUAAACCUGGUUGAGUGUUUUAUGGUUAUCUCAAGUAAGAGUCCACUUGGAGUAUUAUGUCCAUUUUUGGACACCAUACUUUCAUAGGCAUGUUGAUGAACCAGGUCAUUCAAGACACCAGGGUAGUGAGAAGUGUGUUAAUAGUGCUUCUACCAGAGAGUUAGAGUGACAUGGCAGCUGUCCUCAUAUCUAUCGAUCUGUCAUAAGGAAGAAAGAUCACAUGCCUCUGCAUUGUUUAAAAGAAAGAAACAGACCCAAAGAAAGUCAGGAGGCAGAUUUUGCUCAAUAUAAUGAUCUAACAAUUAGAUGUGCCCUGUAACAGAGUGCGCUAUUGUAAAGUAAUGUUCUCCCAUCUUUCCAAGUAUUCAAGCAGAGAAUAGUCAAUAAUACAACUAACGACUGGAAGGGUUUCUUUUAUUCUAAGGUACUAUCAGAUGGAGGAACAUGUAGUUUGUGGUCAGUGACCUCAGGUUCUCACAUUCACGGUGCUGCAUCCUGGUUUUCAUUUGGGGACUGUUUUCUGGCACUCCCGCCUGUCUGGAGGUGAGAUAUGCUUGUUAUGACAACCCUUCUGUCACAAUAAAUUGGCUGGUGCAUUCAGUGUCAUCUAUGGCUUUUUACUUCUAUUAAUUCAUUAAUUCCGGGCCCCCAAGCGAAAGUUUCCAAAGGCCUUUUUUCUUCUUUGUUAAUUAUAACAUGAUAUCAAUCAGCACCCAAGCAGAAACUAGAAGAGUAUUCAAACUAGGUAAUUUGAGGAGAGUUUAAUAAAGCAACAGCUUACAAAGAUGUGGACAGUGGCUUAAGGAAGCCACUAAAGGAUGGCACAGUCCUCCAGGCUUGUGAUCAGGGGAGUCAUUACCAUCCCCCAGCCUGAAGAUCAAGAGGCUGGAGCUAUUUCCAGACCCUGAAGAGGGUGGUUGUAUGGAGAGGACUAUCUGAAAGAAGAGGCUGUAGCCAACACAAGAAAGCCAGGGAAUAAAUAAUCCAUCCUCACUCUCCUGCUGUUGCCUCUCAAUGGCCAAACCCAACCAUGAGCUGGGCAUGAAGGGAGCUAGCUGACAGCUAUAUGGCUCAGCUUCCUGGGGCCCAGAGCAGAGUGGAGCUGAGAAGAGAGUGAAUCUGGAGGGGUUAAUGGAAGAAACCACAGAAAGCAAAUUCCUCCCUGAGAUACAGUUGGUGCUUAGGCAAUAUUUGUACUGACAGGAAUGUGGCCACAUAUUUUGGAAAAGCUCAGGGACUCAAUCCUCUGCUAGCUGCUUUGAGGCCAUGUCUGCCGAAGUCACUGUCCUCUACAGGGUUUUUUCCUCAUGUUCAGUGUUUAGUCCUUUCCACCUUCACGAAAACGAUGCCUACUUAAUAUACAGAAAGGAGGACAUACAGAAAUUUUUCAUCUUAAUUGGAUAUUACAGUUGCCCCACUUUGGAGCCAAGAAGAGCUGAAUAAAGCUGAGAAACACCUAAACAGAAAGAAAAUAGCUGCUGCCCCACUCCUGUGCCAAAAUCUGCUCCAAGGGAUCCUAUCCUAGUCAGAAGGCUGUACUCUGAAUGCUGAUAUUAGCUACAACACCAAGGCUUCCCACUAUACAAACUGGAUCCUCAAAGUCAUCCACACCAAAUGAACUCUCUAUUCUUUCUCCCAGUAGCCUGAGAACUGGGUUUACCAGCCUUGGCCCUUCCUUUCCUUCUAGCCUCAAAACAGGAUGGGAACAGAGUCUUUGGCUGUGAGAAUGGGCUCAAUAACAAAAUAAAGAUGACAGAAGAGUCAGUGACUUCAAUGACAGAGCGAUAGAAAUUACCAAUAUAAACGGAGAGAAAAGAGAUUUUUUAAAAAUGAACAAAUCCCCAAGGACCUGUGAGACAAUAACUGUGUUAGGUUUUCUAAACUUACAAGUGUUUUUAUUUAUAUAUGGUUAUUGUCUUCAGAAGGAGAGUAAAAAGAAUGCUGGGUAGAAGAAAUACCUGAAGAAAUAAUGGCCCAACCUCAAAUUUGGUGAAAGACAUAAACUUACAGAUUCAAGAAACUGAGUGUUCCCCAAACAGAAUAAACUUUAAAGAAUCCACACUCAAACACAUCAUAAUCAAACUUCUGAAAACUAACAACAAAGAAAAACUUAAAAUCAGCAAGAGAGAAACCACACAUUAUCAACUGAUGAAAAGUGACUCAAGUGACAGCAGAUUUAUAAUCAGAAACUUGAAGGACAGAAGGAAGAGGCAAAACAUUUUGAAAGCCCUAAAAGGAAAGAACUGUCAACCCAGAAUUCGACAUCCAGUAAAAAUAUCCGUCAAGAAUGAAUAUGAAGGAAAGCUAAGAAUGAAUAUAUCUUCUAUUUCUUUGCUAAAUUUUUCUACUUUUUCAUUUGAUGUAAGAGUGUUUAUAAGUGCUUAUGGAGCAUUUUUAUGAUAGUUGGUUUACAAUCCUUGUCUGAGAGUAGCUAUGUGAGAUGACGUAUAUAGUAAAUGGUGACUGUAGUAACCAUUUCACUACAUAUAAGUAUGUCAAAACAUGUUGUACACCUUAAAUAUACACAAAAAAUAGCUCUGACACAAAAAAUGCAUAGUUGUUAUUACCAUGUAUAAAUAAAAAUACUUGUAAGUUUAGAAAAUAAAAUCAUUGUCUGAUAAUUAUCUAAAUAAUAAAGUCCAUCUGUGUCAUCUUGGUGUUGGCAUCUAUUGAUCAUUUUUCAUUUGACUUGAAGUUUUCCUGAUAUGGUGAGUCAUUUUUGACUGUAUCCUGGACUUCUGGGUAUUAUAAGACUCUAGCUCCUAUUUGGAACUCGUAUUUUAUAAAGUAGUUAACUCUGUCUGUUCAGAAUGCACAUCCUAGCUGACUUUUGUGGGCUGUGAUUCAAAUGUUAAUUUAGUUUAUAAAACUUCUUCUACAGUGCCAUUCUGUAGGGGUUUAUAGUAGACAAAAUAAUUCCCCUCAGCCUAGAGUUCUAUACAUCUUAAUCCCUAGAACCUAAGAAUCUGU
rnacentral:lncRNA from 10 species